rnacentral:rRNA from 1 species
UAAUACGGGAGGCAGCAGUAGGGAAUCUUCCGCAAUGGACGAAAGUCUGACGGAGCAACGCCGCGUGAGCGAUGAAGGCCUUCGGGUCGUAAAGCUCUGUUGUCAGGGAAGAACAAGUACCGGAGUAACUGCCGGUACCUUGACGGUACCUGACCAGAAAGCCACGGCUAACUACGUGCCAGCAGCCGCGGUAAUACGUAGGUGGCAAGCGUUGUCCGGAAUUAUUGGGCGUAAAGCGCGCGCAGGCGGUUCCUUAAGUCUGAUGUGAAAGCCCCCGGCUCAACCGGGGAGGGUCAUUGGAAACUGGGGAACUUGAGUGCAGAAGAGGAGAGCGGAAUUCCACGUGUAGCGGUGAAAUGCGUAGAGAUGUGGAGGAACACCAGUGGCGAAGGCGGCUCUCUGGUCUGUAACUGACGCUGAGGCGCGAAAGCGUGGGGAGCGAACAGGAUUAGAUACCCUGGUAGUCCACGCCGUAAACGAUGAGUGCUAAGUGUUAGAGGGUUUCCGCCCUUUAGUGCUGCAGCAAACGCAUUAAGCACUCCGCCU